rnacentral:rRNA from 2 species
GCUAUCACUUACAGAUGGACCCGCGGCGCAUUAGCUAGUUGGUGAGGUAACGGCUCACCAAGGCGACGAUGCGUAGCCGACUUGAGAGGGUGAUCGGCCACACUGGGACUGAGACACGGCCCAGACUCCUACGGGAGGCAGCAGUAGGGAAUCUUCCGCAAUGGACGAAAGUCUGACGGAGCAACGCCGCGUGAGUGAUGAAGGUUUUCGGAUCGUAAAACUCUGUUGUUAGGGAAGAACAAGUAUCGUUCGAAUAGGGCGGUACCUUGACGGUACCUAACCAGAAAGCCACGGCUAACUACGUGCCAGCAGCCGCGGUAAUACGUAGGUGGCAAGCGUUGUCCGGAAUUAUUGGGCGUAAAGCGCGCGCAGGCGGUUUCUUAAGUCUGAUGUGAAAUCUUGCGGCUCAACCGCAAGCGGCCAUUGGAAACUGGGAGACUUGAGUGCAGAAGAGGAGAGUGGAAUUCCACGUGUAGCGGUGAAAUGCGUAGAGAUGUGGAGGAACACCAGUGGCGAAGGCGACUCUCUGGUCUGUAACUGACGCUGAGGCGCGAAAGCGUGGGGAGCGAACAGGAUUAGAUACCCUGGUAGUCCACGCCGUAAACGAUGAGUGCUAAGUGUUAGAGGGUUUCCGCCCUUUAGUGCUGCAGCUAACGCAUUAAGCACUCCGCCUGGGGAGUACGGCCGCAAGGCUGAAACUCAAAGGAAUUGACGGGGGCCCGCACAAGCGGUGGAGCAUGUGGUUUAAUUCGAAGCAACGCGAAGAACCUUACCAGGUCUUGACAUCCUCUUGACCUCCCUAGAGAUAGGGAUUUCCCUUCGGGGACAGGAGUGACAGGUGGUGCAUGGUUGUCGUCAGCUCGUGUCGUGAGAUGUUGGGUUAAGUCCCGCAACGAGCGCAACCCUUGACCUUAGUUGCCAGCAUUCAGUUGGGCACUCUAAGGUGACUGCCGGUGACAAACCGGAGGAAGGUGGGGAUGACGUCAAAUCAUCAUGCCCCUUAUGACCUGGGCUACACACGUGCUACAAUGGAUGGUACAAAGGGCUGCAAGACCGCGAGGUUUAGCCAAUCCCAUAAAACCAUUCUCAGUUCGGAUUGUAGGCUGCAACUCGCCUACAUGAAGCCGGAAUCGCUAGUAAUCGCGGAUCAGCAUGCCGCGGUGAAUACGUUCCCGGGCCUUGUACACACCGCCCGUCACACCACGAGAGUUUGUAACACCCGAAGUCGGUGAGGGUAACCUUUUGGA